CCUACGGGGGGCAGCAGUAGGGAAUAUUGCUCAAUGGGGGAAACCCUGAAGCAGCAACGCCGCGUGGAGGAUGAAGGUUUUCGGAUUGUAAACUCCUUUUGUUAGAGAAGAUAAUGACGGUAUCUAACGAAUAAGCACCGGCUAACUCCGUGCCAGCAGCCGCGGUAAUACGGAGGGUGCAAGCGUUACUCGGAAUCACUGGGCGGAAAGAGCGCGUAGGCGGGAUAGCAAGUCAGAUGUGAAAUCCUAUGGCUUAACCAUAGAACUGCAUUUGAAACUGUUAUUCUAGAGUAUGGGAGAGGUAGGUGGAAUUCUUGGUGUAGGGGUAAAAUCCGUAGAGAUCAAGAGGAAUACUCAUUGCGAAGGCGACCUGCUAGAACAUAACUGACGCUGAUGCGCGAAAGCGUGGGGAGCAAACAGGAUUAGAUAUCCCAGUAGUC
rnacentral:rRNA from 1 species